UACGUAGGGGGCAAGCGUUGUCCGGAUUUAUUGGGCGUAAAGAGCGUGUAGGCGGCUAGAUAGGUCCGUUGUGAAAACUCGAGGCUCAACCUCGAGACGUCGAUGGAAACCAUCUGGCUAGAGUCCGGAAGAGGAGAGUGGAAUUCCUGGUGUAGCGGUGAAAUGCGCAGAUAUCAGGAAGAACACCCGUGGCGAAGGCGACUUACUGGACACAUAUUGACGCUGAGGUGCGAAAGCGUGGGGAGCAAACAGG
rnacentral:rRNA from 1 species